GUGAUUAUAGUUUUAACCAAAACAUUAGACUGUGAUUCUAAAAAUAGAAGUUUAAACCUUCUUACUCACC
rnacentral:tRNA from 1 species